rnacentral:rRNA from 1 species
CCUACGGGAGGCAGCAGUGGGGAAUUUUGGACAAUGGGCGCAAGCCUGAUCCAGCCAUGCCGCGUGUGGGAAGAAGGCCUUCGGGUUGUAAACCACUUUUGUCAGGGAAGAAACGGCCUUUACUAAUAUUAGGGGCUAAUGACGGUACCUGAAGAAUAAGCACCGGCUAACUACGUGCCAGCAGCCGCGGUAAUACGUAGGGUGCAAGCGUUAAUCGGAAUUACUGGGCGUAAAGCGUGCGCAGGCGGCUUUGCAAGACAGAUGUGAAAUCCCCGGGCUCAACCUGGGAACUGCAUUUGUGACUGCAUGGCUAGAGUACGGUAGAGGGGGAUGGAAUUCCGCGUGUAGCAGUGAAAUGCGUAGAUAUGCGGAGGAACACCGAUGGCGAAGGCAAUCCCCUGGACCUGUACUGACGCUCAUGCACGAAAGCGUGGGGAGCAAACAGGAUUAGAUACCCUGGUAGUCCACGCCCUAAACGAUGUCAACUGGUUGUUGGACGGCUUGCUGUUCAGUAACGAAGCUAACGCGUGAAGUUGACCGCCUGGGGAGUACGGCCGCAAGGUUGAAACUCAAAUGAAUUGACGGNNGAGAGNGCGAGACGACGACGAGGGAGGAGG